CAGAAGGGCUCUUCGGGAGCUCCUCUUCAUUCUCAACAUUGAUGCUUGCUAGACGCUUGCCAAUGGUGCCAGUAGACUCAUCAGCAGCAAGAAUACCCUUUCCAGGGGUGCCAAUGUAAGCAGCAUUGGCAAUGAGCUCAUCGGUGUAUUUGCCCUUGAAGCAAGACAUAGUUGAAUUUUGAAAUUUGAAUACCAGAAACAGAGAGACUUCUAUAGAGGGCUUUGAGAGAGAUGAGAAAGCAAGCGGAGUUGGGGGUUUUUAUCUGAGAAGGAGGGUUGGGGUUAGUUAAGAAAAAGCAAGAAAGGCAACUAAAGGCUUGGCUUUUUUUGCACUUAACGGUGUACCGCCGUUGUACUGCACGUUCCUCUUUUGCGGUUUUGUAUUCUUUUACUCUUUUGCCCUUUCUCCUCUCGUCGACCCAUAGUUUACUUCCAAUAUUUUUUUUAAUUUACAUAAUUUUU
rnacentral:misc_RNA from 1 species